CCGAGGGGUUUUAUUCUCUCAUUUCUGAUGUACCUUUUAUCACUUAGAAUGCCCUUAAAAGGCAAUCAGACAUAAAACGAAACUUUCUGGAGUCCGGUAGGCGUGAAUUUGUGCAUCUUUAAGACAGAAUCUAUAGGGCCUCUUCCUGUGGUUUGUACCAUGUGGCUCAAAAAGUGUUAAAAGGCGACAACUUCUGUCUCUUUUCUCUGUUGUUUCCGGGAUCAAGCAGGCAGAGAACGGGUUGAAUAAACUGAUGUGAAAUGAACAUUUUGAGCACAUGGAGAUAAAAGGAAGUGGAUGCACAGCAAUGAUUGGACCACAAAAAGAAAAGGGCGGGAAAUUUAGAGGUACAGUGCAGUCACUCAUAAAGUAGACAGCACUACUAAAGGUUACUACACAGUGUAGUGUUUCCUACUUUAUGGAUGAGUGUACUGUUGGCUGCGAUGGACAAUCUUGUGGAUCUCUGUGGAUGCUGAAGCCUCUUCAAAUGUCUCAUUUUUGAAAUAUUAAUAAAGAUUGUUUUGUGA